ACUAGAUUGUAGAAAACAAACUUCGGGAGUCAAGAGUACAGGGUGCUGCUUAAAUUCCUCUGUUUCAACAGGUCAUAGUCUCUGACAUCUAACAUAUUCAACACUUGGUGUCACUGUUAAAAAUUUUCAACGGAUUCAGGUCAUAGUCUCUGUCAGUACAGUGGCCAAACCACAAGGCUUGAUUGGUA